AAGAUAUGAUUGCGAAAGUCAUUAAAGAUUGGUUACGGCACGCGAAGGAACGAUUGUCACGAGAGAAACCGCCCCUAUCUUUGCACACAGAUGCAGAAGAAAACUCCGCCAGAGAACCAGAUGCCGAAGUAGAACUUAACGUUCCUGGAGUAGCUGAAGGGACUGAUUAUUCCAACUAAAAUACACGCACAUACCAAAUGACUGCCUAAAUUGGCAUAACAUGAUGAAAAUAUCU